rnacentral:snRNA from 1 species
GGACAUGAAGGUGAUAUCCUGCGACAUUUAUUAUCCCAUUUGUCAUCACAGUGAAUUUUGUGCCUGGCUAGCUGGGCACAUGUCCUCACCCCCAUCACCAAACUACUUGUCUUUCCCACAAAAUGGCAUGGUUGGCUGAAGAGGGAAACUCUCCCCAGAUAGAGAUGGGUCCUUCUUCUGUCAAGAACAUUUAGAACCUCCAAUCCUUUCAAAACCAUUUAUGCCCCAGAGAGCUAUGAGCAUGAUAAGGUUUGGGAAGGUCCUAACAAUUUAUGAGAAG